rnacentral:rRNA from 1 species
AUUGAACGCUGGCGGCAGGCCUAACACAUGCAAGUCGAGCGAGCGGCGGACGGGUGAGUAAUGUCUGGGAAACUGCCUGAUGGAGGGGGAUAACUACUGGAAACGGUAGCUAAUACCGCAUACCAUCAGAGGUGCCCAGAUGGGAUUAGCUGGUAGGUGGGGUAACGGCGCAACUAGGCGACGAUCCCUAGCUGGUCUGUGAGGAUGACCAGCCACACUGGGACUGAGACACGGUCCAGACUCCGACGGGGGGCAGCAGGGGGGAAGAUUGCACAAGGGGGGCAAGCCUGAUGCAGCCAUGCCGCGGUUGGGAAGAAGGCCUUUGGGUUGUAAAGCACUUGCAGUCGGGAGGCGUUACCCGCAGAAGAAGCACCGGCUAACUCCGUGCCAGCAGCCGCGGUAAUUC